rnacentral:lncRNA from 10 species
GCCGGGCAUGGUGGCAUGUGCCUGUAAUCCCAGCUACUCGGGAGGCUGGGGCAUGAGAAUUGCUUGAACCUGGGAGGCUGAGGUUGCAGUGAGCCAAGAUCCGCACCACUGCGCUCCAGCCUGGGUGAAAGAGAGAAACGCAUCUCAAAAAAGAGAGUCUUACUGUAUCCCCCAGGCUGGAGUGCAGUGGCACAAUCUCCGUUCACUGCAACCUCCGCCUCCCGGGUUCAAGCAAUUGUCAUGCCU